GGAAUUGCAUGGUAACAGAGAGGACAUGACUGUAUAUAAUGCAAAAGGGUAUUGGAAAUGUCAGUUGACUUAGGGAAAAAAGUCAACAACUAGGAUAUACCUGGGAAAUUGCUUAGCUCAGAUGCUUGAUUGUCGUUUACUAAAGAAUUUUAGGUCAGGGAUCCAUGAACUGCAGGAAUUCUGUUCACAUCUAAGUUGGACACGCAAUUGCUAAGCCUUGAGCUCAAAUGCUCAAGGGCACGUUUUUAGCUGCUUGUCAACUUCCAUGUUCACCAAGUAACACAGUUCUGCAACUUUCAUUAACAAAAUCAUUGUGGACUCUCUUACACAGGCCUUCUCUACAAGCAGAUGUCUACAUUUCACUCGUUUGAUUGAAGAGAGCCUUUGUAGCGGCUGGGUGUUCCAUCAGCCGCUCCUUAUCUGCCCCUCUCAACUCAACCAUCAAUCCAGUUCCAUCAUUUCGGUUGGUGUCCUUUGCCUCUUUCUCAUUCACAAAAGUAUUUGUUUUACUCAAUCAACUCAUUCCAACAAUAGUGGAUCAUCAUAGCAAUUGCAUUUUAAUAGCAAAAAACAAAAUAACAAUAAAAGAAAUAAUAUAAAUUAGUGUGAUACAUGCAUUACAUCAGUCAUAAUAUGAAAAGAAUAGAUAAGAAAGUGCAAAGAUUUCCUCAUAGAUCAUAAAACAAUAUCUUCUCCAAGACAGGAACUCCUGCCAGAUAAUAUUAAUUAUGUCAACAUAUCAUGCAUGUUAACAUAUACAGGGAAGUUGUCAGAACUUGGGAGAAACAUGUUCUUCUGGUAAUAUAAAAGAUGAGCAAUAGAUUCUUAGAUCUUUUAUAACCAAUAGAUCAGGAGUUCUGUGAUCUCAAUUUUUUAGAUUUUUCUACAGCCUAGAGAUAGGAUACGUAUGCAUUAUGCAUUUUAGGCCUUUUAGUUACCUAGAAUAGAUCCAAAUUGCCAGCUUUUUGUACAUGUAACAAUAGCCACCCUUGAUUCAAAAAAUUUCAAUAAAUGAGAUAAGAUAACAAUGAUAUGUGAAUGUUGAACUUUCUCAAGUCUCAACCUUCUGAAUGUUUGAAAAGUAUGUACUAGUGAAAAAUCAAAAAGCAGCCUGUGAUGAAAGCUAUAAAAUAUAACAUUUAGCUGCUAUAUGUUGAGGCAGGCAAGAGAAGAUUUAAGAGUCCUAUUUGUUUAGACAUUAGCAUAUAGAGACAUCAUAAGUACAAUCUAGACCUAGCUAGCAUUCAAUAUGAAUAUAGAAAUUUGAAAGCACAGGUUUGAAGAACCUACUACCGAGAGCAUUCAAUAUGAAUAUAGAAAUUUGAAAGCACCAUCAUCAGCCAGGGGCAAGAAGCCUUUGUGGGGGGGAGGAGCAUUUCAGAUAAUAUUUUGCUAGUCCAGGAGAUGAUGGUGGAUUUACAGUGAGCCUCGAGGAGACGAUGUUUGAUGGCUGUGAAGCUGGAUAUGGAGCGCGCUUAUGAUCGGAUCCGGUGGGAUUUUCUUCGGCGAGCGCUUGAGAGCUUCGGAUUUCAUCAACUUUGGAUUGAUUGGGUUCUAGGAUGCGUGCAGGGGCCUAGCUUUUCCAAUUUGGACAACGGCACGCCGUCGCCCUUCUUUCGAGCUACUAUGGGGCUUCGCCAGGGAUGUCCUCUGUCUCCGUAUAUAUUUAUCAUUUGCUCUGAUGUACUUUUCCGUGCUUUGCAUGCAGCCUGUGGGAACCGGGAGUUGGCAUCCUACUGUCCAGCCCCAGCGUCCGGCCCAUUUCUCACUUGCUUUUCGCAGACGAUUGCCUCCUACUUGCUAGGGCGAGAGCAACGGAUGCGAGAGCCCUACAGGGGGUGUUGACAAAGUAUUGCGCGAUGUCCGGGCAGAGAGUCAACCUCCAAAAGUCAGCCAUAUACUUCAGUCCGAGCAUGGAGCGGAGGGUGCGACGGGAGGUCAGGGCGAUUCUGGGGAUGCAAGAACAGGUGGGGCCCCUGGUCUAUCUUGGGAUUCCCCUCACAGGAAGGAGGUUGUGGGUGGAGUGUUCUACCCUAGUGGACAUGGUGCGGAGCAGGCUAGAGGGAUGGAGGGCAUCAUCACUUUCCAUGAUGGGUAGAUUGACGCUGAUUAGGUCAGUUCUGUGCUCCAUGCCAAUCUAUCUGAUGGCACACACUGUUGUGCCAAAGACGGUGUUGCUGGGGAUUGAGCGGCUUAUACGGAGCUUCCUUUAGGGCUCCUUGGGGGGGCCAUGGGGUACCUGGUGGCCUGAGAGCGUGUAUGUCAGCCACUGCAUGAGGGUGGUUUGAGGGUGCCAUCACUGGUGGAGAAGCGUGAGGCACUCCUGGAACGGCGGGCAGUGCAGUUCGUAUUGGAGCCGCAUGGAUUUUGGAGUCAGAUCAUGACGACUAGAUAUGGCCGAGCAGGGUUUGGGGGGCAGGCGAGGGGUGGCCGGAGGUUCUUUAUGUGGCGAGAGAUUGGGGGAUACUUACCUUUGGCCCUGGCGCACUCCAUGUGGCUAAUCAGCGACGGACAGAGCAUUGAUGUGAUGGACCCGUGGGUGGGCACUUUCAUUGAGACAGUGGCCGACGAUGGUCAGCGGUGAGGGGGAGAUAGGGCUUCGGGUGUGUGACCUUCUCAGGCCAAGGGCGGCGGAGUGGGAUGGCGAUAGACUGGGCCAGUUGUUUGGAGAGCAUUUGGAGCACUACUUGUAGAGCUAGAGUCGGAAUCGGCGAUAUUUCUCAGAUUCUUCAGCAGGAGUCAGAGCCGGGCUUAGACUGUCACUGGGUGUGGGGGUUUGGGCUACAUCAGAGGAUUGCUCCUUUCCUCUGGAAGGUGGCCUGAGAGCGCGCCUGCCGACUUGCUCAGAGUUGAGCAGACGAGGAGUGAGCAUCUCUCCCCUAUGUCUGGAUUGUGGGGUGGACGAGUCGGUGGAUCAUAUGUUAUUCCAGUGUAUGUGGGCGAGGGAUGCUUAGAGCCUGCCAGGGAUCCCGGAAGAUGCUUGGAGUCGAAGGGAUUGUUUUCUCGAGGAGGUUCGGCGAUGGUCUGGUAUCCCCUAGAUGCGUCCCGUGGCUAUUAGGGCAACUUGUACAGCUUAUCAAGUAUGACUAGCCAGGAACAUCCGGAUAUUUGGUAAGUCCAGUCCGUCCUCGCAUUUCGUCAUAGAGCGAGCUCGUGCACAGGCAGCAGAGAUCAUCCAUGUUGAUCUAGACCAUAGACUGUUGAUAGCUCAGGAUAUCUGGAGCCCCCACAUUGCUUCAGCAGUUCCUCAUAGGGUAUUCUUUACCCGGGAGCCCCCACCUCCGAGUUUUCUCAAGGUCAAUUUUGACAGCUUAGUAUCGGAUGGAGGUAGGAGGAGAGGGGUUGGCUUCGUCAUCAGGAGCCCGAGCUCCAGAGUGGUAGCAACGGAGGGCUGUCAGAUUUUUGAUACCUCGGCUCCUGGCGCAGAGCUGCAGGCGGCCUGGAUAAGUAUGUGUUACGUACGACGGGUGCUUCAGGCAACUUCAGUACUACUGAAGGGUGAUCAGCUGGGUCCAACAGGGUCCAAGCAGUGACGGAGGAGUUCAUCUCCUAUUCCGCGAUAUUUGGAUGAAGGUGAGAGUGUUGCAUUUUAGGCUAUGCAUGUAUAUUGUGAAGCUAAUGGGGCGGCCGACUGGAUGGCCACAUUUGUAGCGAGCCACUCAGGAGGCACCCUAUGGACUGAGGGUGAGAUGCCCAGAGUACUUCGGGACCUUUUAUUUUCUGAUUCCAUUGGGUGUAUUCGUACCCGUGAUGUAUGAAAUGCUUGUUUCAGCAAAAAAAAAAAGGUUUGAAUGGUAAUAAUGCAUGAAAACUUCAAACAACCAAAAAAAAGCUGCAUGCCACUAUGAUGCUCCUGGUGCCUAUAAGGAGACUCAUAGAGCCAGUUGAGGUAGGAUCCUAGGUAAACAAGGAAACCAUCUCUAGGAAGGAACUGAAGUCUACCAAUAUACAAGUCAUAAAAUAAUAAAGAAGACCUUAUUGAAAAAGGAUAUUUUGCUAAUUAAGGAAAACCACCUUGUAAAUAGAAGUUCAACAAUAAUCCAUUUCAUGCAUAUAACUUCCCUACAACUUACUCGCACAUAAGGAGUAAAAGCCAGCUACGGCAAUUGGCAUGGGCCAGCACACUUGGACUGAUCUAAUCAAGAAGAGAAGGAAACAAUUCCUUCAAGUCAUUUAAUUUGGACCUCUCAAAGAAAAUACUAAUGAAAUAAUGGAGUGGCUAGACUAGGGACUACCAAACCAUCCCGACCGAGCAAUUCGAGGUAUAUCAAACCUACCAGCUGGUAACUGGGAUGAUUCGGUCGAUCGAUCCGGUCUCAAAUCAAAGGCUUCAUUUAACUAAAAAGCGGAUCACCUUGCGUCUCUCCUCAAUCGCGAUCUCUUCCGAAUUCUCUCCCCUCUCUCUCCCUCCAAAUCCAUCUCUUCCCUCUCCCCUCUCUCCUUCUCUCUCAAUCUUUCUCUCGUUUCUUCCCUCUCUCCUGAUCCACCAUACCGACUAUGAUCAUGUUGAUGUCGAUGCGACGACAACUACGGCUAAGGUUAGUUAGGGUUCCGCAUUAGCGCAAGAACACUGCAGCCACCGCCUCCUCUUUUAGCUAUGAUGAAGAUCCUCCGCUGCCGCCUCCACCAUCUUGUCUCCGCUGCCUUCGGCCCCUAUCCUCCUCUAUAUUGGCACCUCCAUAAGGCUGGGUGAAUCCCCUCUCUCUCCCCUCCUCCCUCUCUCUAAUUUCAAUGUGUAUCAGAUCGGUAUGGUAUGCACCGAUAUCGUACCGAACUAUUCUCCGACCAGCACGUCCUCCAAUACCACUUCAGUGAACCUUGGGCCAGACUCCUUUUGAUUUCAUUAAUUGAAUAAUAAAACUGAUUACAACUUGUCUUAUUUAUAUUAGUGAGGUCCAAGUUCCCAAAUUUGAUUCAAAUUCCUUUUCUACUUAAAAGAGGAUAGAAUUUUUCUAAAUUAGUUAAGGAAUUUGUGCUAAGUUGAAAGCCAUCCUAGAGAUAUCUCUAGAUUCUUACAUUAAAUUUGCCGUUUGCUACAUCGCCUAAUUCCUCCAAGAUUGGAAGAUGCACCAUCAAAAUCUUACCUGAAGAGGAUGCUUUUACUUUGAUCGGCCCACUUCAAGGCUUAAAACAUCAUAGCACCCCAACAUUAGUAGGGUGCAAUGAACCCUUAAGGUUUCCACAUCCAUGUAAAACUCAAAAAAGUUACCCAAUUUCAAAAAAAGAUCAUUAUAAAAAGGAUGUCGUAUGGGGAAGUUAUGGCAGAUCUUACUCCCAAACUUUAUCCAAACCUAGCCGAAGUGAUCAAACUGGUCCACAAUGGAUCCAAUGAUCCUCCUAGGUCAUGGACCAAUAUGUGGCACAUCUAUGUGCCAAUGCAUGGGGUUCAAUGCAUGCCAAGCAUUUGAAUAGCACAAUAUGUGCUGUGUUGGAACCAAAUCAACACUAUACCAAUGCAUGACACUUAAGAAUUAAAACCAAACAUCCAUCGCUACUAGAAUGGGGAACUCUUUGAUAGAAUUUUUGGUUCCACACUAGAAUCUUCACUUAAAUGAAGUCACCUAGCCUCUUAUGAAAUGCUUAUCAAAACUAAACGUAGUUGGAGAAAAGUCUCUUACACCUUUAGAACUCCUUUCUAAUUCAUAUAGUACUGAAUUACAAUAAGGAAAAUAAAUGAAACAAUUAAAAACAACUUUUCUAAGCCUAAUAGCUUGACUAAAGACCUUUCCUAAUAGAGAAAACUAUGAAAAAAUAAAACAAAAAGUUUUUAAAAUUCAUUUCUAAUUCAAAGUAGCCAAGGAAAGGCAAAGUCAUAACUACGUACAAUCCUGUCGACAAAUUUCAACAAAGUAGCCUUUCACUAAGAUGACCAUAUGCCCCUCAUUUAAGUUCUGAUUAACAUGAUUCAAGAUUGCAUUGGCAAGUUGUUUUGAUGCUAAAUACGAUAGAAGUAUUUUGAUUUUAUAAUUCAGCUAGCUUUAGUAAGCAUUCUUUUGGAUUAUGGUGUAUGAAGUUGAUCUUUGAAAGGCUAGCAUUGGAAAGUUGUUUUGAUGCUUAAUACGAUAGAAGUACUUUGAUUUUAUAAUUCAGCUAGCUUUAGUAAGCAUUCUUUUGGAUUAUGGUGUAUGAAGUUGAUCUUUGAAAGGCAGCUAAUCUAUGGUAUAUUUUUCUCAACUAAAACAGCAAUACGUCAACAUUGGUGAGCUAAGGGUCUAACAAGUGAUGCCUGACAACUUUGGUAACUGAUAGAUUCAAUGUGGUCUCAAAGCCAUUAUGAAACCAAUGUUGUUGUGGACCUCUUUUUGGACUCUAAAGCCCUCUUUGGUUCUAGCUUCAUCUCUAGCAUGGAUUAGUAGCAUGUAGAGGACCCUUCACUCACAUCAAACUCCCUGGCUUUAAAAUUUGUCUUUUGAUGAAUUAUUGUGGAAUAAGAUUUGAGAGCUAGCCUUAGCGCAAUAAAAAGAUUCCUCCAUUAUGACCUAGAUGUCACAAAUUCGAAAAAUGGAAACAACCUCUCCCCACGCAACAGUAAGGUUGCGCAAAUCAAACCAUCCCCAGACCCUAGUGUUGGGAAUCUUGUGUACUAGGGAACCCUUUUAGGAUAUGAUGGUCUUUCAACAUGCUUGUGUCAAACACUUCACUAUCAUCAGCUUUCAUGUGUUCCAUCGCUUUCUUGUCCUUUUCCCAUGAUACUUUUGGAUCUAAGCCUUCUCUAUCACAAGCUUUCAGCAUAAUUUCAUUAAUAUAUGGAUUUUGUUUUGAUUCUGGGGUAGUUUUAUACACUUUGAUAGGAAGAAGAUUUUGAUGUAAAUCAUCACUCAACUACGGAGUCAUGCCAUCCGCUCAUAUGGAUUAUUAUUCACGUUGCCUCCACUGCUACCCAAGGAUUGCCGAACCGGUAUCGGGUGCUGUACCGAUCGGCGCCCGGUCCGGUUCGGAUCGGACCGAAUCGAUAUCGAACUGGUCCGUCAAAAAUGCUGCAGCGCGCGCUAUGGCAAAUCUAACUGGAUUCGGUGCAAACCAACUGGUUCGCACCGAGUUCUGGCUGAACUGGACGGAACCGGUCCAGUCCCGUCCGGUUCGCUUUUGUACGAGGCCAGAACCAUUUUAUAUGUCCGAACCGACCCGGUUAUAGACCGGGUCGACUCAGUUCGGCCCGGUUCGGCAUUCCUUACUGUGAUCUUUAUUCUUUUUGGGAUAGUUUUAUACCCUUCGAUAGAAAGAUUUCGAUGUAAAUCAUCACUCAACUACGGAGUCGGCUUCUUGCCAUCCUCUCUUAUGGAUUGUUAUCCAUGUUGCCUCCACCCUCACCCUUAUUCUUAUGAAUCGAUACUAUAGUGUUCUUCCUCCAAUCAUCAGGUAUUUUCCUAGUGUUUAAAAUUUUAUUAAACAAAUCUCCAUAGAGAUUUCAUUAGGCCCAUCUACUUUUCCUAUUUUCAUCUUUUCCAUAGCCUUCUUUAUCUCAAAUACUCUAAUUUUAUUAUAUGUAUAGUUAAUAUUUCUAACCUCAAUGGAACUAGUAAGGCAUCAUAAAUCGUCUACUUGUCUUUCAUUGAAUAGCUUGUCAAAAUAGUUUCUCCAUCUUUCUUUGAUCUCAUCUUUCUCAACUAAAACUUCUUGAUGUUCAUCUUUGAUGUAUUUAACUUAAGUCAAGUCUCUAGUUUUCUUUUCUCCUAGUCUUGCAAUCAUAUAGAUAUUUUUUCCCUUUCCUUAGUUUCUCACUUGUGAAAUAACUUUCCAUACGUCUUGAAUAUAGUCAGUGAAACCUGUUGCCGGAGCCGGAGAUUAAGGAAAGAGAGUGCAAGCGGGGGAGGGAGGGAGUGGGAGAGGGUAGAAGGCCGGCGGAGGGUGGUGGACGCUGGAGGGCCGACGGAGGCCGCGAGAGCGAGGCUGUAGCCGGUUUCCUCUCCCUCCCUCUAUCCCCCUUCUCUCUCUCUUUUCCUCUCUCCCAUGGUCUGCGGAGGGUGGUAGAACCGUUCGAUUUGAGCUUCGUACCGGUGUGAACUGGCUCGGUUCGCACCGGCAUGAGUUCGAACCGGUGCGAACCGAGCAUGGAUCGCACCGGUUCGUUGCUGAAAAUUAGUGCUAGAAGUGCCACAGCGCUGGCCAGAGGGGGUCGAAACCAGGCACCGGUACGGUAUCGGUUCGGCUCGGUUCGGCACCGGUACCGUACCGUUAUCGAAGCCGACCGGUACGUCGGUACGAUCGGUACCGCGAACCUUACUGUGACAACUUCAUGAAUGUUCUCAAGCUCUUGUGUUAGACAUAGUACAGAAUUUAAGUUUGCUAGCAACGUUCACUGUUUUGGUACCAAACUCCGUACCGGUAUCAUUCUAUUACAGUAUCGGUACAUAGUACGGUACGAGACGAUGAGGCAUAUUGAGUGUCAGAAUGAUACGAGAUUGCGUACAUAGUGCGGAGAAGUCGUGUUCGGGCCGGUUCAGCGCAUACCGUACCGGUACCAACCCCAACUGGUAUGAUUCGGCUGUGUACCAGUGCGGACUGGCCCGGUUCGCACCGGCCCAAACAUGACUUCUUCGCACGGUCGUACGCAGGGCAGCGCGCCCUGCGUGGGCCAUUUAAUGCCACUAUGUGGCAUUUAACGCGUCCGUGCGUGGACGCGCGCGAACGCGUUGUUUUUUCGCGCUGCUUUAUUUUUUUCGCAUUCGCGCGCAGACGCCCGAGCAGGAAUCGCACGCCUAGCUCGCGCACACGCGCGAUUCUUCGCGUAGGAAACCGCGCUUGCAGCUGGUUUCCUAGCAAGGAAUCAUGUCCACGCGGGGCAGCGCACCCGCGCAGCCCGUAUGGGCCAUUUAAUGCCACAGAGUGGCAUUUAACGCGUCCGCACACGAACGCGAGUGGACGCAUUUUUUUGCGUUCGCGCGUGAACGCGUGUAGUUUUUUUCGCAUCCGCACGCCGUGUCCGCGCGCGCGUCUCCAGUUCGAUAUUGGACCGAUACCGAACCGGUACCAUAACAGUACUAGUGCCUACCGGUACGUCGGUACCGUCGCUCCGGCGAACCUUGAUACCAGUGCAGUAUGGUAUGCGCGGUAUGGCAAAUCUUAAUGUGGUACAGCAAAUCUUGAUUGCUAGCUUUUGUUGCUUGUAAUACUUUGAUCCUUAUGCAAAUAAAAAAGCAAAAUCUUACUUGUAUACAAGGUAGUCACAAGGAUCUUUCUUGUUUUCUAAAUCAUAAGCAUGUUAAAUGGAUGAAGCUGCUAAAAUGUAGCACCUUUUAAAAAAUAUAGAUCGUUGAAUUUAAGAAGUGGAUGCAUGUGUUUGUGAAGACAGUUCUUGAUUGAAAUCUACAUUCCUGUCUGUAAUGAAGCUGACCUUUUAGUUAUUUCUGAAAAGGAUUGUAGAUAUCUAAUUACUUGAUUCAACACAUCAUGUUUACAGAGUCCAAGCUCGUGAAUGGCUUCAUUCAUAAGAUUGAACCUUUUUUCCUAAAUCAAAUAAUAAUUUUUGUAAAAUCAUUGUUGGUGAUUUGGCAUGCGGCUUUGAAAUCAAACUUAUUGUGCAAUGCCCCAGAAAAUACAUAUGAUAGCAAAAAAAUAAACUUAGAAAGUAGUAGCAUACAACAUCAAACCUAAAUUAUAUUUUUCAAGGUUUUUAGUCUUAGAGGUCAGGUCGAGAUGUUGCACCCCCAUACCAGCACAUGGUACACUACUGGAGGCAACAUAACAGUUGCACAUGUGUUGAGAUACUAUCGUAUUGAGUCCCUCUAAUGUACCAAUACAUUAUUGGGUCAGUAUGAUGCCCAGUACCAAGUGGGUUCAAAAAAACUUAUUUUUUUAUUAAUAAAUAAUUGUUGGUUGCACAUAUAUAUGUAAGGGCAAGAGAGACUUUCUAUAGGUGUAGAAUACAAAAUUACAAAUGAUGCAUGGUCAUAGACAUAAAGAAUUUUCAGAAGAGAAAAUUUGAGAAAGCAUAUUUCUUAUAGAAUAUCAAUACUCUAAUUUAUACUUCAAAAUAUUAAUAUAUUAAAUUGAGAUUUUAUUCAAAUAUUUAUGAACUGCUCAUACUACACUUUGAUGCUGGCUUUAAGGAAUAUUUCUUGUAGAAUUUAACUUUUUUUCAUUUUUAUAUUGUUAAUUACUAGUACCUAAAGAACUAAAUUAUGUGCUCUGUUCUUUCUAGUUGUGGCAAAGGGAGGCAGAAAGCUUAAGGGAGCAGCUGCAUAACUUACAAGAAAAUCAUCGGUACCAUCUCUUAACCUCGUUCACAUUCAAAGAUUGUUCCUAUGCCUGACUAGCCAUUGGCACUAUUCCCUUAGACAUCAUACCAUAAAGAAAAGAUUUAACUAUAUAACCAUCUAUUUUGUUAGAAAAAUAGUGUUAUUCAACAUGACGUAGACUUUCAAGCUUGUUUGAGUAUAACUAAUUCCCUCAUGGAAAAAUUUAAAAAUUUUCACCCAAUUCCAGGGAUCUAGAGCAUCAAGAUCAUUAGGAAAAUAAUAUGUAAACUAGUGAAAACAUCAAAUUUUGUAAAUGACUAGAAAUGAAGUAUAAAAAGUAUUUCUUAAGACUAAUCACAUGAAGCAACAUUUUCGUUUUUAAACACCACCUUGUCUUGUUGUUUACCAUAUUGUAUGCAUUGAAUAAAUCAUUAAUUGCAUCAUUAGUUAUUGACAAAAGAGCAGGUUACUGAACUUCCAAUAGUAUGUCAAGAUUUAGACAGCAUAAAACAGAUGGUACAUCUAAGGACUUCAUUUCUCACUUCAAUACCCAUGGACAAAGAAUUGGUCCACAAGCCCACAGUUCACAAAAACAGUGACAACUGCUGCUUCCACCAUGGCAACUAACCUGUAACUAUCAACUUCAUAUAAAAUUAUUAUUUGCUUCAAUUAUCAAAUUGAACCUCGGCAUUUUUUAUCCAAACAUAUAGCUUGGGCAGGAGCAAAUGGUGGACAGUGGCUUGAGUGCUUGUGAAAACAGUAAAUGUGCCUAAAAACAACCUAGUAAUAAAAUUCUCUGACAUUGACAAUUUUCCAAUUAUUCUCAAUUAAGGUUUUCCCUAAAUUUUUACUGACUUAAUGAAAUCCAUGCUUGCCAAAUAUAUAGUGCCUUCUAUGAAUAACUUUUUUUUUUUGCAAAUAUUUCAUAGAACAUUUCAUUUCUUUUUCUAAAGUUCUCCACUUGUUUUAUUUUUCUUUUUAUUAUCAUUCAGUCUUCAUUUCUAUUCAUUCACUUUUCAAUCCUCAACAUAUUCCAAAGGUUUUCCAAAAUGUAUAGUAGAUUAUAAAUUUUUUCCUUGAUAAUAUAUUCUUGAAUAACUAUGCCUAAAAAGUAUACAGACACUAAAACAUAUUAGAAGUCAAGAUAAAACAAACGUUUCCUCCUACUAGUAUACUGUGUAAUGCAAGGCUCGCCGUCUUAGUACCAGACCCAUACCGGUGCCAUGCUAGCACUAUUGGUUCGGUGCGGUACGGUACGGGGUGUUGUCGGCAUGCCGAAUGUCGGUAUGCAUCCCGUAUCGUGUACCAAUACUGAACUGGUAUGGUAUGAUAUGCCCCGUACUGCCCUGUUCGGCCAGUACGGCAAACCCAUAAUAAUGUAAUGUAGAAUACUCAAUAAGCUACACAUACUAUUUGAUUUCGCUUAUGGAUCCUUCUUUUUGAAACAUUCUUUUUAUUUUAGUGAUUGUUGUUAUUGAUAUGUAAUAACAGUACCAGAAUUUAAAAUCUAUGACAUUACAUAUUUAUAGAAUGGGAUUAUCACAUUGAUCUAGUAGCUUUAUUACUAUUCCUAAAGUUGUGCCUCACCCCCCAAGAAACCAUGCUUCUAUAUAAAUAAAAAGAACACAGUUCUGACUGGUCUUUUCUGUUAUCUAAUUUUUACGAGUUGAGAAUCAGACUCUAUGACAUCAUGAACUGCUCCAAUUUCAAUGUCUAAAAUUGCAAACCCCCAGAAUGCUAUAGAAUACAUGAUCAUGUGAAACACUGCUUGGAUAGACCAAAUUACCGUGAAGAUUUCUUAGAGUUUCACCAAGGGUGGACUACCAAGAGUGCAAUCAGAAAUCAAUCUUAUUUUGCCUAUAGGAUCUGAGAAUAGCUGUUCUGGAAGAAAGUGAAAGCAAGACUCGGAGAACUGCUUCAGUACUUCAAUUCCAGAGUCUCAGCCUCCCAGCAUAUAAUGCUAAUAGCAGCAGCUGGAACAAUCUUUUGGAUAGGAGCACUGAGAUCCUAAAUACUUUUUUUCAUCUCAGGCAUCGCAAUUUAGGAUUUUGUCCCCAUUUUACUUUGGUGGUAGCUUGGAUAUUAAAAGAGUACAAGGCUUAUACUCAGCCAUACCUUGGUACAAGCUUUAAUAGAUAAUUUCUGGUUGUAUACUUCAUGCAGAGAAUAAGGUUGUUAGAGAAUUCUUUGAUAUGAAUUUCUUACAAAGAAGUCUAUGUGAUGUUCUUGCCAUGGAACAUAAGGGAGCUGAGGUGUCAAUUUUGGACGUCAUAGCCCAAUUACUUAAGAAUUUACAAAAUUGUGAUUUAGAAGGAUCACGAGUUCUAUUGUGGACCAAUUUAGCCACUUGGGGUAGGUCUAGACAAGGUUUGAGAGCAAUAUCCACCACAUCCAGAACUUGAUCGUGAAGUGUAACUUCCGAAGGCCAUAACUUUCUCGUAUGAUCUCCAGUUUCAACAUGUCAUGCGCAAAACAAAGCCCUUGACAAGUACUAUGAGGAUGCAACAAGGUUGUCACACCCCUAUGGGUGUUCUACAAUAUUGGGGCCUCAAAAUGGGCCGAUCAAAGUAAAACAUUUCUUUUAAGAUAAGACUUUGAACAAAAGCAUCUUCUAAUCUGUAAGAAAUUAGGCGAAGGACAAAAGGCAAAGUUGAUGUAGAAGUCGAGAUCUCAUUCCUAGAUGAGUUUUAUCUUAAUAUAAUUGUCACAACCCAGAACCUCACCUAAAAAGACUAGCUGGAAGGUGUUAUUUGGAUUUCAUGGCCUUGUAACAAGCAUCCACAAUCUACCCAGCAUUCUAGCUAGGUAAAUCACCUCCAGCCCACCCAUAUUUUUUAAAAAAUCCAAUAAAUACUUAAUGUUAGGUUAAAAAAAACUUGGGGAUUUAUGAUGCACCUAACAAUAUUUGAUCACUAGGUUUAUGCUCUAUGGCAUAAAUUUAGGACCAAAAUCAAGGAAAUUUGGGUUUCUGGCUUGAACCCCAAAACUCACUCAAAGGAAAAAAAAAGGUUUUAGAGGUAUCUCUAAUUCCAGAUUAUUCUGUCAAAAACAUGCAACAUAAAAACUUCAGCACACAUCAAAAACCAUGGCUAGAGAGUACUUAAAUCAACAUUGUUGCCAUACUUUUCUUAAAAAACAUAGCAUUAAGACAACAAAACAUAAGAAAAAUACAAAAUAGAAUAGUUUCAUAGCAUAAAUAGGCCAUACCAUCUGACCAUGCAAAGCAUAUCAAUCAAUACCCUCUGCUAACAUGAUGUAUCCCAUACCAAACCUUCAUCGAUAUGAGGUUUGAUAUUCGAUAAUUUGCAUCCUAAUAAGAGAAACAAAAAUAUUAAGGGAAACAAAAAGUAAAUAAGUAAAAUGGGUAGAAAAUGGUGAAUGAAGUAGGAUUGCUCAAGAAGGUUUCAGGGUACAUUUGACAGAAAUGAGAAAGAAGACAAUGAUAUGGGAGUCAAUAAGCAAGGUAAAAAGACCUACAACUGGCUGCUACACAAACAAUGUCCUAAUGCAAAAAUGUAGAGGUGAAAAAAAGGAAUAGGUGAAUCUUAGUGUUCUAUGAUAAGAUUAAUAAAGUUUUGGUUCGAUUAAUGUUGGAUUAAGUACAUUACAUGACUAGUUAGAAGAAGAUAUAAAUAAUUAUCUCAAAAGAAAAAUGGAAAAAUAAGAAGAAUCACAUCUAAAGACAAGAUGGCGGCACUGAAAACCUUUUUGGAGGUACUGAAAACCUUUUUGGAAUGUGAUAUAUCUUGUGUCCUUAAACUAGUUAAUGAUGGAAGUACUGAAAACCUCUUUGGAAUGUGAUACAUCUUAUAUCCUUAAACUAAUGGUGGAAUUUGGGUAGGGUAUCACCAUCCUAACAUUCCUAUUAGUUAGACUUGGAUUAAGUACAUUACAUGACUAGUUAGAGAAGAUAUAUAUAAUUAUCUCAAAAGAAAAAUGGAAAAAUGAGAAGAAUCACAUCUAAAGACAAGAUGGUGGUCCUUUUUGGAGGAAUUGAAAACCUUUUUGGAAUGUGAUAUAUCCUUAAACUAGUUAAUGAUGGAAGUACCGAAAACCUUUUUGGAAUGUGAUACAUCUUGUAUCCUUAAACUAGGUAAUGAUGGAAGAACCAAAAACCUUUUUGGAAUGUGAUACAUCAUGUAUCCUUAAACUAAUGGUGGAAUAUGGGUAGGGUACCACCAUCCUAACAUUCCUAUUAGUUAGACUUGGAAUGUGAUACAUCUUGUAUCCUUAAACUAAUGUUGGAGUUUGGAUAGGUACCACCAUCCAUAACAUUCCUGUCAGUUGGAGCUUUUUUAACUGGUUACUCUUAUCCAACACCUAGAAUUCAUGGCAGGAACAUAUAUCCAAGUCGAACAUGUGUUAGACACUUAAAUACUUACCACCUUUUCUUAAUUACAAUUUUCCAAACUUGGUAGGGAACUUGGAAGACUUCGAUGAGUUCAACGCAUGGAAUGCCGUACCGGCCCGUACCGGCCGGUACGGGCCGGUACGUACCGGUCCGGCCGUGGACCGGUACCGGAACGGAUAAAAAACCGGUAUUUCCCGAUUUUUUAUCCGAACCGGCCGGUUCGGGGCCCGUACCGGCCGGUUCGGGGCCCGUACCGGCCGGUUCGGGGCCGUACCGGCCGGUACCGGCCUNNNNNNNNNNNNNNNNNNNNCUAAUAAUAAAAGUGAGAUUUGUUGUUUUUCAAAAUAUUAUUAGAAUGCCUUUGCAAAAUAUUAUUUUUCAAAAUCCUUAAUAUAAUGGGAAGUUUGGGCAAGAAACAUUCAUUUCAAAAGAUCUUGACAAAUAAUAAUAAUAUCUUUCAGUGCUCUAUUUCAUUACAAAAUUUACAUUUUAACAUCUUUUAGUUAAAAAAAUUGUUUUUCCUACACAUCCUUCUCUUUUUUUUCCAUAUUGAUGAGUCGGACAUUAGUAGACGAGUUCAAAUCAGAUUCUGGUGUCCCUUUCCAUUCAACACCAUAAGACACUAAUUAAUCUCGCAUGUGAAUUUGCAUGGUUUAAGUUUUAGAAAAUAUUUUAGAUAUAGGAUAAGUUUUAAAAAGAUUCUAGGCUUUCUAGCAUUGAUUAAGUGCUAAUAUGCCUUCCUCAUAAAAUUGUUUAAGAUUUAUUUCGUAUGUUUUAAGAAUUUUACACCAUAAGACACUAAUCAAUGAUAAGCUUUUAAUUUUUGUUGUGACCAAAGUACUGCUCUGAAUUUGGACUUUAGAGGAUGUGAACGCUUAUUACGUAUAGAAUCAUAGAAAUCUAGGAGUUCACCCCUUGAACUCCUCCUUUGAGUCUAUCAAUGUUAGAAUCCAUUUUUAUAAAGUUUAGCAUGGUUUAAGGGAGAAAUCUAAUUAGAGUUAUGAUGUAAAAUUGGGACACCAGAAUCUAUAGGUCCUUCAACUAUAUGGCUGCUUUUAUCAUACAAUGUUAGUCUAUAACAUUAACCUUUAGGUCCUUCAACUAUAAAAAAAACCUAUAGGUCCUUCGAGCAUACAGAACAUGACAUGCUAACAAUAUUCUUAGUGUUUUUCCACCAUUGUUGAUGCUAACACCCUUUUUUUGUCAUUAAAUAUAGGAAAUGAAAAAUCUUAUAUCAUAGUUUAUACUUGUGAGUUGUGACCACUUCUUAAGGUUAAGCAUACAUAUCAAAUAAAUCACAAUCAUUGAAAUGUCCAAAUCAAGAAUAAUACAAUCACUAGUACGAUAGUGCUUGACAAUAAACAAAUAUUGUAUGCAUCUUCUAUGAAAAAACUAUCUUUUAAAGUUCUACUCUACAACAUGAGAAUAAUUAAUAGUAUAAUUUAGUUAAAAUCAAGGAUUUAAAUACCGUUGGAAUGUUAUGGGAUCAAUAUAGGUUUGGAACACUGGUUCUCACUUGAAUCGGUAUAUACCAAUGAUACCAAUUUGUACCAACAAUCAUAUGUACUGGAAGUUGGUACAUACUGGUUCCAUUUUAUUUUUAUUGAUACAAACCAUUUCAAUCCAUACUGACCAUAUCGGUACCGUAUCGCUCAGGUUCAAAACUGGUGUAAGGCUUGGUAUUGGUCUUUUAAACCCCGGUACAGACCGGUCCAACCUGGAACCGGUAUCCGGACAACAUAGAUACCGGUUCUAGCUGUCUGGGUACCGGUCCAACUGUUUUCGGGCUGGCACUGACCGGCAUGCAUAAGUACUGGCUGCAUACCGGUCUCGUACCGGCCCGAGCCGGUGGCCAGUUCGCACCGGUAUUGUUUUUUUUAACCACAGUGCGCGCGUUGUGGUGUAGGAGCGCGUGGCCCUCCCUCGGGUCAGAGUGCCCCGCGUGCGAUUCUCCCGCGCGCGCUGUAGCCAGCUCUAGCGCGGACGCGGAUGCAAACAAAAAAAAAAAAUUUUCUGCGCGCGUCCGUGAACCAAAAAAAAGUAUAUAAACAAAGACCAGUUCGUACCGGACCGGUUCCGGUACGAAUCGGUCUCGAAUCGGUCCGGUAGGCCAGACUGGUUCAGCGUACCUUGGUUAAAACUAUCUCUUCCCACAUCCCCUAUAUAUCUUUGCUACCUCUUUCCAAAUCAUACAAUUAGGUAUGCAUCAAAAUCUAAUUGCAAUAUCCUUGUCCAUACAAAACUUACAGCCAAUGUUAUUAAUAGUUCUCACCGAGGAUGCUACUUGAUCCUCGAAUAUCAUACUUGUUUCAAACUAAUUUUUAGUACAUCAUAAGGCUUUCUCCGAGUCUAUUAUAUGAUCAAAAGUUUUUGUGGCAAACAAAGGGUCUCAACAUUAUCCACGUGCUAUAGACAUAAGAGAUAACAAAAGAGAUAUAUAGUAAUUAUAUUUAUAAAUGAUUUAUUGUAGCCAUAGUUUGCCAUACCGAUCCGUAUUGCCCGAUACCAAGCAUAUGGAAACAUUUGGUAAGGUAUCAAAACAUGGUAUCAAGAUCCGAUACAGCAUAGAGGCUGAAAAGGCCUAGAUGGAAUGGUUGGUUCCACCCAGUUUCAUGUUGUACCGAUAUAUACUAGCCCAAUUUUGGGUGGUGCCAUGACUGGGCAUAAAAAAAAACUCGGAACCUAUGUCAAUACAAAGGGUGUAGCCGUACUAUACCAGAACUUAUCGUACCUUACUAGUAAGGUAUCAAUAUGACAAACCUUGGUUGUAGAACACUACUCAAAACUAUAAGAUAUAAUUGAUAACAAUGCAUAUAAUGGCUCUCGUAUGAUAGUUUUGUACAAUGCAUAAAACAUCUUUCAUUCACAUCACAUUGGAACCGUAGUGUCAUUACUCUAAAAAAUAAUCAUGGAAACCAAAGAAAGUUUCAUACAGUAGUUUAAACCCCAACUCAAACACCUUGUUUUGGUAGCCAAUUUACACUCACAAUUCAACCACAAAUCAAUCUGCUGAAUCAACCAUUCUUUCUCAAAAUCCUCAAUUUUGUUCUUCCUUAGUGAUCUCAAAAAACCUUAUAUGAAUAUCUAAACCAAGAAAGGCGGAACUGUCCUAAAUGGAAUGGUUCUGCCUGUUCCGAGCUGUACCGGUGGCUUACCAAUACGGUUCCGGCUUUGAAAACAGCUCGUUGACGGCAUCGAAGAAGAAGAGAGAGAGAGCGAGCAGGGGAGGAAAGAAGGAUCGGCGGCGGACGCCAGCGGAGGGUCGCGGGGCGGCGGCGGACGCCGAGGUCGCUACCACGUCCCUUGUUUCAAAAGUGGCCACGGAAAAAAUUUAGAAAUUUUUAAGUAAAGUCGGUAAAUCGGCCUUCGCAGGCCCCUCGCGGCCUCUGCCGACAUCCGUCGCCGCUCCUCCCUCUCUCCCCCGCUCGCUCUCUCUUUCUCUUCUCCUUCUCUGGCUCCGGCAGAUUUUCUUUCUCGGUACGGGCCCAUGACGCCAGACAACCGGUACGGUGCCCGGUACCGACAAAGUAAACCUUGACCCAAAUGACAACAGCAGUGAUGAUUAUGAAGGAGUUUGAACAAAGGUGUGGAGUAAUGAAGGUGAUGGUAAGAUUUUAGCCCAACCUAGUGGUGACAAGCCUGGAAUCAAAUAACCGUUUUAAGUCUUACUGGACCUUGUACCAGUACCUUAUUGGCAUGAGUCAAAUCAGUAUAGUUUAGAGGACAUGAUAUGCUAUUGGAGUUAGCAUAGCUUGUACCAUAACUCAGAAUGGGCCUAUGGGUGGCAUAUUGAACCUUCAUGCCCUAUUGGUACCGCAUCAAGCUGAUGUGAUAUGCCCUAUACUAGCCAGCACUGGUCGGUAUUUAAAACUGUUACAAAUUAGGAUGGAUAAAAGGAAGGGAGAAGAAAACAAGGAGAUGGAGAGGAUGAUGACGAGAUGGAAUAAGAGAAGCAUGAUAGAAUAAAGAAGCUUAAGGCUUUUAACUCUUAAUAUUUUGUGAGGUCCAUGCCUAACCACUGGACUAGAUUAAUUUUAGCAAUUCAGAUGGUUGAAUCUCCCAAUUUAAAAACUCAGAAUAUCUUUUAGGAAAUCCAAGUCCUGACAUGAUGUCAUAGACUUAGACAUAGACUCGUCGCAAGGGGUGCCGGCAUGCGCAUGGCACGAUAUUGCAAAAAGGGUUUGGCAUGGGCCAAAAGUUGCAAUGCUCCUCGAUCAUUUGUAACCCCCGAGGGUGGCCGUUGGGUGGGUGCCUAGUAGGGGUAUCGAGGGGAGCAAUGGUUAGCCAAGGCACGACAGAGCCAUGGCAUGAUAUCGGAUGGCUCGGGAAGCAUGAUAUUUGGCAUGGUGGCGGACUACUAGGAUAUAUAUGGAUACUCAAGAAUUCCACUUGGUUGAGGGGUGCAAAACUUUGUCCGUGUUCCCGACUCCCAAGCCCAUAGGAUAUGGGUCCGCCAUGGCACAAUUGCAGGGCAAGGUAGUGCCAUGCCUGAUGGUCUCGUGUGGAGGCAUUUGGAGCAAUGUUGGUUGGAUGAGCUACACACGUUAUGCGGAGGGGAGUUUCGAGAGGUUGGUCCUUGAGGAAUUUUCCGGACAACCCUGUGCGUUUUUUAUGUCUAUGAUGGGGCGAAGAGGCGAUAAAGGGCUGCUCGAGCAAGGGUGUGGCCUACCUUGACAAGCAAGUCUCAUGAGCAUUACAGGGCGAUGUCUCAUAGGGAUCCAUGGAAGCUAGUCGACCGUGGAGUACAAAUGUUGACUUAUGGAAUAUCAAUCGGAUUAUGUGUCUUAAUGUUGGGCCAAGGAUCAAGGACGGCCAAAAGGGUUGUGCCAAGGAGAGGACAACUAAAUGCAAUGAUUGGUCGGUCGAAUAUAUUUACUUGAUGGGCGGACUUGGGUGCUAAUAUCAUGGUAGUGCACGAUGUACGAGCAGGCCAUGAACAUUGUCAGACAAUAUGGCCAUGGAUGGGGAAGGCAUGCUGAGGAUGCAAGACUAGGAUUGUGGCAUAAGAGCUUAUUGGGGAGCUUGGAUAGCAAAACCCUGAAGGGCUUGGACAUGCACAAUCAACCAUAGCUUUGAGGGGUUGCAGGGCAUGUCAGCUUGGUGUUUUGACUGAGCUUGAGCCUUAUGCAUAGUAGUGGUGUUGAAUGGUUGUGUCAUGUGAAUUUGGUUUGUGUAUGCCCAAAGGGCAGCAUGGUGGCUUACGGAUCGGUGGCACAGGUUAUGUUGUGGCACGAAAACACUCUAAGAAUCAAGACAUCCUGGGUGAGCAGUACUUGGCUUGUGGGGCAAAAAGCCAUAAAGCUAACAUGGAGGUGCCGAGUUGUAGAGCACUAUUGGAAAGUGUCUAUACUUUGGCAUUGAGGUGCACAAGUGUUGCCAUCGACCCGAGGGGUCAGGUUGCAUGCUUGGCUAUGUAGCUAAACUGUUGCACAUUUAUAUGUAUGCCCGAGGGAAGGACUUGGGAGGGCUAGCCUUGGUGUGUGGCAUGUCAAUGUGCCACAUGGGUGUUUGGAUCAGGAAAACACCCACCCCAUGACAAUGUGCCAACCUACAUACAUUAUUGGGUGGCAAGAUGAGCGCAUCAAGUUGUAUGGAUCAAACAUGUUGUGAAACAAUAGUUUCAUAUACGAUCUCUCCCACAAAACCAUUAAACUCCACCUUAACAAGCAAAAGCAAUGUACAUACACGGGAAUGUACGUCUCUGGUGGAGGGUAACUCAGCCUACAUUUGUUUAAUGUCAUCAAACUACCUCUUAUGCUACUUUAUCAUGAAAUCCAUUUGAAAGCCCACAAAAACCAUGAACAAAUCUUACAGGUGAAUAGGUGUCACUAGUUAAUAUCACACUAUGUGCAACAAGUUGAUUAUUACACUAUUAAAUAAGCUGAUGAUAUAGCAUAUUCAAAAUUUAGUCAAUGCUUGCAGGAAAUUGAUGGGUGAACAGUUGUCUGGCUUAAGUGUCAAAGAUCUACAAAAUCUAGAAAUCCAACUUGAAAUGAGUCUACGCAGUGUCAGAAAGAAGAAGGUUACCCUCAUCAAAUGUUGCUCCUCAAUCCUUCUUAUCCGUAUCUUCUCUACUUAAUGUGUUUCUUUUCUCUGCUAUAGGAACAAAUUCUAACCGAUCAAAUUCAAGAAUUGAACCGAAAGGUUUAUCAAUAGUUAGUUAAAUCAUCUUUAAUGUUGAAAGUAUUGCAUUUUAAGUGCCUAAAUUUCUAGAAUUUAUUACAGGGGUACCUUAUUCACAAUGAAAACAUUGAACUCUACAGGAAGGUAAACCUCAUACGUCAAGAAAACAUGGAGUUACGUAAGAAGGUACUAAGUUUGAGACAGAGAUAUCUAUUUUGCUCUUUGAUCCAAACUCCUGAAUGGAGCAUUCAUGAAGCUUGUCUUCAUGUUUCUGCGGCCACAUGCAUUGCACAUUUCAUGCUCUAUGUAAAAUAUGUAUGGAUUUCAUCUAAAACUAGAUUAAAUCAAUCCCAAGGUUUUAAGUGCUGCUAAUGCUGGUUUGGCCACCAUAUUGGGCCAAUAUUAACUAUAGCAUUGGGUCAAAUCAGGACUCAUCAGAUCUUUUUUUGACAUUUUUUUGUUUCGACAAAGUCAAAAAAAAAUUUGAUUUUUAAGUCCUUUAAUAUUUUUUGGUUGAAGCAUACAAGUGCAUUAGCACAGCAUAGCACGUAUAGUGCUUGUCACUAGUUACUAUGCCCAAUGCCAACAAUAUUUAAAACCAAGAUUCGCUGUCUCGGUACCAAAAUCCGUACCAAUGCCAUACUAGCAUUGUGUCAGUACGGUACGGGGUUCUCUUUUGGCAUACCAAGUGUCAAUACACCAUCCGUACUGGGUACCAGUACUAAACUGGCACGGUAUACUCCAUACUGCCCAGUUCGGGCCGAUAUGGCGAACAAUAUUUAAAACCUUGUUCAGUCCUUGAAAACAUAACAGUUGUUUUUAUAACAUGCUAAGCGUGGAAUUAGCAUUGCAGAUAUACGCAACAAAUGAGUUAAAUGGAGGAACUAGUAAGGAUACAAGUAAUCCAUAUGGUUUGUCUGUGAUUGAGAAUUCACAUGUAGAUGUACCUAUUCAUCUUGAGCUAUGUCAACCUCAACAGCAAACAGAUGGACCACGAGCAACAACACCGAAGCUAGGGUAAUUAUUUUGAAACAUCAAACCUUUUUAUUUUUUCAAUAUUUAUUAGUUUUACUUUAAUAUACUUAAUUAGCCCUUGCUACAGACUUCAACUGCGUUAAGAAGAUGACCGGAGAUCAAAGUGUAUCGUCUAUAGUGCGCAUCAACCCAGUUGUCAAGGUUGCUAUAGUUUGUUAUCAGCUAUAACAUACAAUGUAUGAGCAAGAGCAGGAACAAUACUCAGCAGUCAUUUAAAUGUGGUGUGGCAUGAUCCAAAAAAAAUCAUUACUCUGUAAAGCAAUCUUCCAACUAGGACUAUUAAUAAUAUGACAGGUAUUUCUGUUUAAGAACAUUACUUGUACAUGGAGACAUGUCCUUCCAUAGCAUCCGAAUGGUUGCUGAUAACAUCUAC
rnacentral:lncRNA from 1 species